GGCGCGGGCCCGCAGGGAGGCCGGGCCGGACCUGCGCCCAGGGACUGAAUCUCCGCGGCGGGAGGCCUCGGAUCGUCGGGCCCAGGCCGGGCGGGGCACCGGCUCCGAGCUGCGGCCGGGGGCGGCGCAGAGCCCGGGUCACCGCGUCCCCGGCUCCGGAAGGCGCGCGGGCGGGCGCGGGGCCGGAGGGAGCGCGCGCUCGGAGCCGCGUGCAGGGUUCAGCCGUGUUUCGGUUGCCCUCUGACCUGACCCUGGGCGCACAAAGGCCUCCCGGGUGCGCCGCCAUGGCCCAGCCUUCAGUCGCUGCCAAAUUAAUGAGCCCACGUCAGGUUGGGUUUACAGCUCGGCCGGGAAGCAGCCGAGUGGAAAAUGAGCCCGGGGCGGCCGCGGGGCCGGGGAAGUCGAGGCCGCGCCGCGGCGCCCUCCGCUCCCGCUCUCGCUCUCCCUCCUGCCGCCUCCCGAGGGGGCGGGCCUGCCGGGGAACCGGCUGGUCUGCGAGCAACGGGUCUGCCCUGCUUCCCGACGCCGUCGCAGACCCCGCAGAAGUCGAUCUGCUGGUUCAUCCUGAAGUCUGGAAGACUGGCUCCCUGUGCUGACGGCUCUGCUGUCCUAUAGCUCUUUAAACACUGUGGGGAAUUCCAUUCAAGAAAAAUGACCAGACUUGAAGCUGAUAAAGCGUCACUCACUCUGGGGGAAGCCACCUGCCAUGUCACGCACACUAAAGAAGCCCUAUGGAGAGGCCCACGUGUCAAGAAACUGAAACCUCCCGCCAAAACCCAUGUGAGUGAGCCUCUUGGAAGUGGAUCCUCCAGCCCCAGUCAAGCUUUCAGAUGCCUGCAAGCCUUCAUGGAAGGCCGUGAGCCAGGACCACCGAGCCGAGUCACUCCUGAAUUCUUGACUCCCAGAAACUUGGAGAUACUAAAGGUUUACUGUUCUAAACUGCUCAGUUUUGGGGUGAUUUAGUACAGAGCAACAGAUAAAUUAGUACACGGGGUAACUGAACAAACCUCCUCUUAAGUUAAACGCAGAGAAGGACCUGAUAUUUGUUUCUCAUUUUGUGUUUUCUGAAGAAGACAUAUCUGGUCCUCACUGUGACUCUGAAGGGAACGGGGAAACAGCCAUUUCAGAAACCUGAUCAUCAGACAGACUCGCUCAAGGCACUCAAGUUAACCAGGGACAAAAUGGACAGAAAAGCAUUCGGGGUCUUUUUCGCCAAGCCUUUCCAGUAUCCCUAUUUAGAAGUUAGCUUAGACAGAAAGACCCUAAGAAUCAAUACAAAAAAAAGCAAAACUGAAAACUAUCCCCAAAGAGUCUCAAGAGGCAGGCGGCGUCACCUAACACUGCUGCUGCUCCCACCUCACCGCCCCUCAGGUCUCAGAGCACACGAGAGUUUGUGACCUCGGAUCUAGCCCACAACUGUAGACGGUCAGCUUUGAGAACAUUCACACAUUCUGAACAGUGAAACAGUUCAUGGUCAUGGUGUUUAUAGCCUGGGUUUAAAUAGGAAACUAAUAAAGAUACAAUCUCCAUUUGAGAAGGUGCUCAAACCCCAGUUAAUGGAAAGUUUCCUGUGGCUCAGUGAGUUCUCUGAGUCCGUCAUGGGGCUACUGGGCCCAGCCUCAAAAAACACACCCGGGGGGAGUGAAAGCUAACAGAGCGAAUGUGUGUCUGUAGAAGUAAUGUUGAGGUGGUAAAGUGCUACUUUGGACAAUAACGAGUGAGGGAGUGAGUGGCUGGCUGAGUCUGGCCUUCGUCGGGCAUACGCCCUGGUUUGGGUUUCCUGGUUACUUUGAGAAGGCAGGCAGGGUCUCUGCGGCCAAAACUGCUCUGACGGAAACCUCAGUUGAUGACCUUGGCUUGAGUUGGGGCAAACCCUUGCUAGUGAAGUCUUCUCUCUGCUCCAGAGGCAGUAAAGUUGUAAUACACGUGGCCUUGCAGGAGAAUCGUCUACAGCAGGGGACUUGGCAGAAGGGCACUCGGAGUUUGAUUCUUAGAAGUAAAAGCAUGAAAGUCCACGAGGGACUGCAAAGCACACACCCAUCUGCAGUGGAUGUUGCCCCAGGUGCAGAAUGUCGUGGUCUCUAACAUCUUACAUGUGUUCUCUAAACAAUACCUCAAGUGUCUUUUUGUCUCUGGCCUAUGUGGUUUCCUGCAUUUCCGGCAGCUGAUCCUAUGGACAAAGGCAGCUGCCUGCAAAGCAUUACUGAAAAUUACGGAUUAAGACACAUAUGCAGAAAAGGAUGUUGGCUCUGAAAGAAGCUCAUCCUGAGCUCGGAGCAGGAUGGAGCCUGCAGCCCUUGUUGGAGAAGCCGAAAUAAGUGCCAGGCCUGAGCAGCUUCCCAGCACCCCAGGAAUUCCUCCAGUUCCUGAGCCCUGGAGCUCCACAGCAGAUCGGGUGAUAGGAAACCGAAUUGAAAUACGGGAGGGAGCCGGAGGGUAAAGGGAAAGGAAGGCUCCCGUUAGUGAGAGCUCUUGCUAACACUCCAGAGCCCAAGCAGGGAAUGUCAAGAAGGUUUAGUGUGAAUCAUCAAAAUAAUAAAUCAAGUGAGCUUUGGCCCUGGAGCCGUAAUCUCAGGUGCCAGAGAGAUGGCUCACAAAUACCUAGGGUGUGGAGCUUAAGAUACUGGACAGCCAGGUGGUACUUUAAAAAGCAAACACACAGACAAUCCUGAGGCCUAUCUACAUACAGUCAGUUCAUUCAGACUUUCAUCCCAUUCCCGCCAAGCUAAGGGUCCUCCCCCAACCCCACAAACACCCUCUUGAGACUAGGCAAUGCCAGUCUUGAGGAUUCUUUCUGUUUCAGGUUUACGUGAUAUUCAUUCAGGUCUCAUUUGCCCUUUAUAAAAGCAUUGAUGGGAGUGUGUGUGUGUGUGCAUGUGUGGUGGGUGCGUGUGCAUAAGUAGGUAGUUGGAAGCACCCAUGUAAAGCCCCUACUAAGAAUUGACCCCAUUGGGAACACUUAGCUUUAAAAACUUUAAAAUCCUCUCUUUUUCUCUUUCCCUUUCCAAAAAAGUGAUGGAAAUGGGAGGCAGAUUAAACUGUCUCCUCGCAGGGAUGUGGUCAUCCACUUGGCUCCUGAGAAUGGUGACCUGGCAGAAUUCUAGUCCCUGACCCCAUAGGCUGGGCGAUCCUUCGUGGACUAAUGAAGUAUAUGCUCUGCCCUUCUGUUCCAGAGUUGUGAAGGAGACCAGGAAAAGGAGAGGUCAGAAAGGGCAGCUGGAGCGGCAAUCCCAUGGCUGUGCCACAGGCUAGGGGAAAGAGUGGACUUCUUAGAGUUUCAGGUCCUCCUCUUCUGUCCCCGGUUAGGGUCUCUCCUUCUCCCAUUUGUAGCCUCUCUGUUAUUACCCAGCACUCAGCCACAGGUGAGCAGGGUGGAGGGCUAAAGCGAGAGGCUGCGAUCCUCUCUGAGACUCUUGGGCUGGGAGUAGCAGCUCAAGAGCACAGGGCUUCCUCAGGGCCCCUGGCCAAGAUGGCAGUGAUGGGAAUCAAGGAUCCAACCCACAGCUCAGAUAUUGAAGAGAACUGACAAAGGUAUAUUUUCCUUUUAAUUUAGCGAUUUACAGGAGGCCCUAGACUGCAUGCAUGUCAGGCACACAGAGGAAGCUUUCUCUGCAGAACAUUACUUCUAUUUUUUUCUUUUAAAAAUUAAUCAGAUUACUCAGUGGACUUCCACCUAAAGACAACUGGUGAUAUACACACAUUUGCCGCCACUCUCUCCAGAAACUCCACCGAAGUGACAACUAAGGGAUUAAACAAACAAACAAAAAACAAAAGGGAAACAGAAGAAGAGAAACAAUAACAACCUUUGAGAAGCCGAAAAGCCUUUGGAAGAGUGGAAAUGCCUCAGUAGACUCAAGAAAGCAGGACGGGCUAAGAGGUAAUCCGCUUUGCACGUGGAAUCCCCACAAGGUGUGAGAAUUGGCAGCACCAGUUCCCUCUGGAAGUGGGGAUACUCAUGGGGCUAAAAGCCAGAGGAUGGGCUGAGCGUACUUGGAAGCUGUGAGACCCCAUAUCUCCUCCUCCACUCUGACAGAAGACUGGAGACUUAUUCUUUGAAAAUGACAAAACAAAGGAUCUCCUGGACUAGGACAACAAGAAUAGUCAAGGUGGAAAAAGUGCCCCCAAAACAGGGAGAAUGAGUGAAAGCUGAUACACUGAAUGUUGAAUUAACCCCACAGGAUUUUGCCCUCUGAAUUAGAAGAGACUUCUUUGGGGAAUCUGGCCAGCUUAAGAGAAAGACCCAGAGACUGACAUCAGGGAUUCACCUAUGAAAUGGCCUCACCAGAUCACCCCACUGAGAAGCCCAGAGUUGGACAAGCCCUGUGUUUGCAUACAGAACUUCCUACCAGCUUUGUAGUACCCUAUGCUUACAUAGGAACAGAGAGCCAAGAUUGCCAACAUUUGAAGAAGACCUCUCACAGGAAAGGAAGAGGCCACAUCAACAAAGAAACAACAACAAUUUGGAAGAAAAUAAUGCAGGGAGAUGAAAGCUUUAAAAACUGACCAUCACCUACAAGAAACCAGGAAAAGAUCUUAUAUAAAAAAACAAGAACCUUCAGAGAAUUAAAAGUAGGAAGUAAAAAUGAAAAUAUCAAUAGAAGGUUUGAAAAUGAAGUUGAGAAAAAUAUCCCUGAUGGUAAAUCAAAGAGAUAGAAAACAGGAGAGAAAUACUAAGAGAUUUAGAGGACCAACCCAGGACAUCCAUCAUCUGAUGAGCAGGAGUUCCAGAAAAAGACAAAGAAACAAAUGGGAAGAGACCACCCAAUAGCUCGUUAAAGUCAAUGAAGCUAAAACCCACCAGGUGUGGCCACAAUGGCUGGAAAUACAUCCACACCCAGCCUCAUCCCUGUGAAAUUUUAACACUUUAGGACAAAGAGAAGAUCCUGAAAAACAGGUACAAAGUAUCAGAAUCGGAGUAGCAUCUGACAUCUCAACAGCAACACUAGAAAUAUGAAGGCCAAGAAGAAAUGUGUUCCACUCCUGAGGGAAAAUUAUUUCCAGCCUAGAAUUUUAUACCGAGCCCCAACAUUAAUCAAGUGGAGUGGUGGAAUAAAGAUAUUUUCAGAAAUGCAAUUCUCAAAAUAUUUACCACCAUUUACCCUUUCUCAGAAAGCUAUUGAAGGAUGCGUUCCACCAAGACAAGUGAAUAAAUCAAGAUAGAAGAAGACAUGAGGGCCAGGAAACAGGGAAUUUAACACAAGACAGAGGCUAAGGUAAUCCCCAACAUGAGGGUGAAGGGAAAUCCUGAGACAACAGAUAUGUAACCAGCCUGGGGUCCAAGCAAUCCAGAUUGGAGCAGCUCGGAAGGCUCUCAGAGUGACUUCUGAUGGAAUAUCUAACAUGCUUGAGCAUAUUGAGAGGAGAUUUCCAUACGUGAAGGAGAGUUUGGGGCUUAUUUGGUGAUAAAUAUAUGGAAAACCGAGCAGAGGAAAAAGUAAGACCAGUAUCAAUGCCAGGGAAAACAGUAAGUUGUGGAAGAAAGGAAAAACAAUCAUAGUAUCUACAUAGCUCAGCGAUGGCGUUGUCAAUGGUCAUAAAAUGAGACUGUAUAUAUUGAUCUAUCUAAGAGCGUGUGAAACUAUUCAGGAGUACAGAGUUGGAGGGUAGUGGGGUACGUGAAUAUAGGCAGUGGCAGGGGUGAGAAAGAGGGUGAAAUCCUUACCUUCCGCUGUAGGAAGUCAGUAGACAACAUUCAAAAGUGAGAAUUCAAGAAGCAGCAAUAAAAGCAGGUGAUUCAGAGGUAUGGAUGUAAAUACCAAUACAAUCGUUUGGCAAAGUCGAGUGGGUUUGCCUUCAGAAAACGGGAAGCGGAAGAGGCAGAGAGGGUGGAGACUUCAUCUUUCAUGCUGGCCUGAUAUAAUGCCUUGCCUCUUCACGUGUGUGCACAAGUACCUUCGACAAAAGUAAAAACUAAACACAGAACCACAUCAACACAGGGCUUCUGCGCGGCCCGCUCGUGAAGACCACUUACCGAACGCAGAUCUGUGGGUGCUGCUGUCUAAAAGCCUUGGUGGUCCCUUGCGCCCACUGGUGUUUGUUUUAGUGUGAGACUCCUGUGAUCUUCAUGAUUUCCUAAUCCGCCAUGAUACUCCUGAGACCCCUCUGCAAAGUGAGGCUGAUGAGUUAGAGGAAGAGCUGAAAGUCACAGCGCUCAGUCUCUUCUCAGAGGCACAAGGAGGGAGCCACACAAAGGCCCUUCAGCAAGGAGGGCAGCUGACAGUGUCGCAAUCGGAAAGUUGAGGACUCUCUUUUUUUUAUUUCCAUGUUUUCUCAUGAAGAUUCUCACAGUGAGUAAUCUUGCCUUCAAAACCGGACUAACAAUUUGGUCUACUGAUGACUUUUCAAGCAUUUUCAAUUAAUUUCAGAAUUCCAAAAUUCAAAUUCAGUUCAAAAGCAUGGUCUCUAUGAAGUUUUCCAGUUUGAGUUACACAGACAAUCCGACUCCGACAAAAGACGGUGCAGAUAAGGAUGCGGUGAAGGCUCCAAGGAUGGAUGUCCAGGCUCGUUUCUGGGUCUCCUGGCAGGAGGCAGCCACUGAAAAGCUGUCCCAAGGAAGCAGCCUGUCCAGGACGCAGCAGAAGCAGGGUAACCCAUGGCAAUGCCCCAAUUUCGGAAGAAGGACUUGGGGUAAACUGAGGGAGGGGGGUUUUUCAUUUUUUUCUUUUCAAGAGGAGAGUUCAGAGAGAAGACACAAAAAGAGAGACAGGAGAAAAGUUUACCUUUUCUUUAAAAGAUUUUGAAGGUAGGGGCUGGCCCCGUGGCCGAGUGGUUAAGUUCGCGCGCUCCGCUGCAGGCGGCCCAGUAUUUCGUUGGUUCGAAUCCUGGGCGCGGAGAUGGCACUGCUCAUCAGACCACGCUGAGGCAGCGUCUCACAUGCCACAACUAGAAGGACCCACAACGAAGAAUAUACAACUAUGUACCAGGGCGCUUUGGGGAGAAAAAGGAAAAAAUAAAAAAUCUUAAAAAAAAAAAAAAAAGAUUUUGAAGGUAAAUUUCAGAGGUAAAGUUUAUCCCAUCCUCCCAACAUUUGGAAAUCCUAUCUCCACAGAAUCUUCCUGACACCAAUUUUGUGCAAGACAUUGUACUGAUUGUUAUGGGAGAUAUAAAAAUGAAUUACAAAGGCGCUCACCUUAAGAAUUUUACCAGGUCUGAAACUCCUAUGACUACCUAUCUCUGAAGUGGAUUUUCUCCCACUGUAGAUUGUAGGUGAUUAAUCGGGGGUGCUUCCCAUGGCCAUCUCCAUUACGGUUGUCUUCUUUGGGUGUAAAUUCAUUCUGAUCCUGGGAACACUUACAAUAUGAUUAGGUUUGAACGGCCUUUGGUAGGCUUUGGAGAUGCUGAAGGUGAUUAUGAGAAAGAAGAACAAUCCUUUCCACAUGUGCUAAAGAGAGAAAGUCGUUAUUCCUCAACUGCCCAUGUGGUAAUCUAGAUCUGCUUAAACUGGCACCGUUUUGCAGGAUCAUCUCUGUAAACGAGGCUCUAAUUUCUCCCACUGUCCUUCUCAAGGCUACCACGUGAGGUACAUGGUUGAAAUAAUCUUAGAUGGUCACUUUUGUUUUAAAUUUGAAUUCUGCUCUCUCUGUUAAAACGAAUUUUCACGUGCUUAUUUUUUCAUCAGGUGGUUAGGUAGAGAUAAUAUAUGAAGUAUAUGGCAGAGAUGAAAAAUAAACCUCGAACUUGCUCUUCUGCAGUUCACAGCUCAGACUCAUCUUUUGUGAGGAUGUGACACAGUACUGCACUGCUCAGGGCCUAGUCUGCAAAGGCAAAGCCUACGACCCUCGGGCCCAGAUUCUUCUUCAUGUCUACCUUCCCAAGACAUCUGGACUUUGCGUCCUGAUGGGCAGGCGGUGCAGAGUGAAAGCAUCUAGGCUCGUUUAUCUACAAAUGGCAAGUGAAAUCAAGAGCAGAAACUCUGGCUGGGGUAUUUCCAGUGAGAAGCCUACUAGCACAGGGGAAAGGCGGGUUUCCUCUGUGUGUUUGUGCAGAAAUGUCUACCCCUCGGCCUCCACUGAACACUCAGAGAGGCUGCUCUGCUUGUCACCAGCUCUGUCAGCACAGACCAGAUGCCACCUUUGUGUCCAAGUUGUGAAUGAAAUGUUACCAUGCCACUGGGGCUUGGAGCUCAGACCCAGAGCUGCCAGGCCACGGUCAACAAUGCUGUUUCAAAUUAUGAGACCAGGAGAAUUCUUUGCUCUGUCCUCUCUAUGUGGGGGGUAAGAACACAGGCUUUUUCUUCUCAAAUCCAGAUGAGUUUUAGUCUGGAUAUGUCAGACAAAAUUUGUCAAGUUAUUUACAUUUUUAAUUCACAAUUUGAAGGUCUGUACUACAAAUUAGUGAAGCUAGAAAAAGGUUAGAAAAUAGCAUCCAUGCUUAUGAGCAAUUCGGCAUUCAGUUCUAAUUUUAAACUGUUUCUUUAAAUCUCAAGUCUUUAACUCCAUCCUGUUCAUUUUUCUGAGAGAGAUUGUCAUGUUUCUAACUGCCAGGGCUGUUUCUGAAGGACUAGAAGUAUUGUUUUAGCAGAGUUUCUCCCAAGGUGGCUAUGAAAGUGAGCUGGGCUUGUACUCUCCCCAAGCUGAUGAGUUAGGGGGACCCACUUCUGCAUAGCAGGAAAGGUCUGUGUGGAAUAUUCUGCUGAUGUGUAGUGUAAUCUGAUGUUAAAGUUUAACAGCUACCAGGAAAAAAAGUUUUAUUGAGUGUUAACAGCAGUGCUGUGGGGUUGUACUCUCAGAAAGGAAUUUUAAAAACACACAGUAGGAAGCUCACAGGAAGUUCUUCAGCUGGAUCCAGAAGUGAGACAGCACCGACUUGGCAGAAGCUCAGGUGGAAGCAUCUAGAACAGGGCUCUGAACAAUGCCCAUAGCAACCCAGGCUGCACAAAGUGGCCAGUUUUGCUUAGGAAAGCUCCUGAAGAGAGGCAGUUAAUUUUUAAACGAACUUGUCUUAACGAACUUAUAGAAGCUAUUUGCAGAGGUGUUAUUUCUCUCAGUGGCACUCAACCUGAGACCUCCCAGACAAGCUGAGUUGUCAGAGAAGACCAGAGACUUUCCUACUCCAUUUCCAGUACAAAACAAACUUAUCCAAAUUGGAGGGAGACAUCUCCUGACAUGAUCCCCCACCUCCCUUUCUACAGGGGUCUGCUUCGUUUUCAUGCACGCAUUCGUUCAACAGACACUUAUAAAGCAUCUAUUAUGUUCCAGGCACGGGUCUAGGAUUGGGCAUUCAGUGGUGAUCAAAACAGGCUCAAACUCCAGCCCUUAGGACCCUUUUACUCCAGUGGCACAAACUCAGAGAAUGUGAGAACUGAUCAUGUUCAGAAGUUAUAAACUCAAACGACUAUGAAGGCCAGACCCGGAGUGAAAAUACACAAAGGUGACAGGAAGGGACGGUGACUGUAGCAAACCAGAGAGCAUGUGUCCAAAAACACAGCCAAAGACUAUUUUUUUAGAAUACUGUGCAGUCUAAACAAAACACCUUUGGGCGUGAGAGGUUUCCCAUGGCUGCUAUUCAACUCUCCAAUGUCCUCAGAGCAGAAAUAAAGGCCCAGGAAGGAUCCGUGCCUUGCUCAAGGUCACACAGCCAGGCAGUGACAAAGCCAAAGUGGCCUGGCCCUGGCCCAGUGUUAUUCCACUGUGCUAUGUUCCCUCUUGUCCUAUAGUUCAGUUCCUUGAGGAGUCUCAGAAAGUUACUAGUGUUUGACUUGAUCUUGGCGAACAACUCGUUCAUCCUCUUAGUAAUUAUUUUAUUAAGCUCUGUCAUGUGCCAAACACCAAGGAAAGCUUGAGAGUGUUGAACAAGACCAGCGUCAGAAACGGGCCUUAACCUCCCAGAGCUUAAGAGUGUAUUGCUUCAGCAAUCUAAUGUAUAAUUAGUAGGAAACAAUAAAUUCCUUUUUUCCCCUUUGGGCACUUCUGAGGCAGUAGUUAUGACUCCAGGCCCGGAUACACACAUGUGCUUAACCUGAAGAAGAAAUAAAUGUAACGUUACAUAAUUGAUAUCAUGUGUCCUUAAAAUCACCCUAGUUUGACAGCCGGUAUGAAAAGAUGAAUGUGGAAUAGUGACUGGGGACAUAGUAGUUGAUCAAUACAGACUGGCUGGCUGUAGCGUGCAUGUGUUAUGUAAUCUCAGCUGCUGAACAGAUGCAUGAACUUGUUCUGCAUUUGGCUACUUUCUGACACGCUCAGCAGUAACAUGGUCAAGUGCCAGGGCUAUCCCUUCAUUGCACAAACAUUGAUGGAGUGCUUGCCUACUACGUGUACGACUUGUGUUAGAGUGCAUAUGGAAGUACUAUAGUAUUCAAGGAUCAGUGUUUAGGAACCAAAGGUAAGUUGGAAACUAUUUUUUGCUAAGAGUUUCCCAGAAGUGUAAUAGAAUCCGUUGGAAAUAGCCAAAGUCAGGUCUCCUAGGUCAGGAAUUCGGUUUGUACCAUCUGCUAUAGCUGGAAGAAGAGAUGGCUAGAGGUACAAUCUACAGUGAUUCAUGGGCUGUGGCUAAGGAUUUGGCUGGAUGGUCAGGGACGUGGAAGGACCAUGAUUGGAAAAUUGGUGACAAGGAGAUCUGAGGAAGAGGGAUGUGGAUAGACUUCUCUGAAUGGGCACAGAGUGUGAGAUAUUUGUGUCUCGUGAAUGCUUAUAGAAACAUUACUUCAGAUGCAGAAGAUGGGUUAUUCUGUGGAUGUCAGUGUCCUUCUCUACCCAUUCUACGCAUUGCCCAGUGGGCUCAUGAACAAAGUGGCUAUGGUACGGAUGAAAGGGUGAAGUUUACGGGUGGGCUUAGCAACAUUGACCUCCUCUCACCAAGACUGAUCUGGCUACAACUGCUGAGUGCCCAAACUUCCAACAGCCCUUGAGCUCAUAAUAUGGCACAGUUCCUCAGGGGCAUCAGCCAGUUACUUGGUGACAAGUUGAUUGCAUUAGACUGUUUCCGUAAUGGAAGGGACAGCACUUUGCUCUUACUGGAAAGAAUGCUUACUCUCCUUGCCUUCCUUGCCUGCAAUGUUUCUACCUAAACUCUUAUCUGUGAACUACAGAAUACCUUAUCUACUGUCAUGGUAUUCUAAACAGCAUUGUUUCUGACCAAAAAAUUCAUUUCUUAGCAAAGGAAGUUGUAGCAAUGGCCCCAUGCUCAUGAAAUGCACUAGUCUUAUCAUGCUCCCCAUCAUCCUAAAGCAGCUGACUUGAUGGGAUAAUGAAAUCGCCUUUUGAAGACUCAGUUAUGGUUGCCAACUAGGUGAAAACACCUUGCAGGGCUGGGGCAAUGUCCUCCCAGGAUACAGUAUAUGCUCUAAAUUGAUGUCCAAUACAUGGUGAUUUUUCUCCCAUAGCCAAGAUUCAUGGGUAUGGGAGUCAAGGGGUAGAAUUGGAGACGGCUUUCAUCACUAUUACCCAGUGAUUCACUAGCAACAUUUUUAAUUCUCAUCCCUGCAAUUGGGCUCUGCUGGUUUAGGAGUUUUAGUUUCAAAAGGAGCUAAAAGUAAAAAAUGCUUCCGCCAAGGGACACAACAAUGAUCCCACUCAACUGGAAGUUGAGACUGCACCUAAACACUUUGUGCUCCUUACGCCAACGAAUCAACAAGCAAAGAAGAGGGUUACUGUACUGACUGGCGUGAUGGAUCCUGAUAAUCAUGGGGAAAUUGAGGUUACUAUACAAUUCAGCUAAGGAACAAUGUAUUCAGAAUGCAGGAGAUCCCCUGGGGUACUAUUAGAUCUUACUAAGUACUACUAGGUCUUAUUAUUCCUAUUUCCUAGGAUUAAGGUCGAUGGAAAACUACAACAACCCCAAUCAAGCAGGACUGCUAAUGACCCAGACUCUUCAGGAGUAAAGGUUUGAGUCACUCCACCAGGCAGGAACCGCGCCCAGCGGAGGUGCUUGCUUAUGGGAAAGAGGUGGGUAGGGAAGGAAGUCAGAAAGUAUGCCAGCAAUGACCACAUGACCACUGCAUAACAAGGACUGUAAUAGUUUGAGUGUUCCCUCCUGUUAUUUUGAUGAUUUAUGUGUUUGUAUAUAUAUUAGCCAAACAUGUUUUCUUCCCCUCCCUCAUUCCCAUAUCACCUAACCUAAAAUGUGUUAUAUAGUAAUUAACUUUAUAUACCAAUAUUUAAGUUACAGGUAUUGUGAAUCAACUAAAAGAAGAACUAACAUCGCCCCUAAACAAAAAAGGGACUUUGAGUCCUCUUCUGGGAAAGGGUUAUCGUGUUGUGAAGGUUGUACCAUUUCAGGCUGAAGCGUGACUUUGGUGUGGUUUUCAUUUGGAGAUAAAAUAUGGCUUAAGGAGCUGUGUACAGUGUAAGCUGACAAAGGGUCAUCUCUGGCGACUUUGCAAUGUGUCAGUGUGGCUAGACUGAAUUGUGUUUCUCAGAACUUCACUCCGUAUGUUUCCAGUUAGAGUGUGUCACAAGAGAGAUCCUGGUGUGAGAUCUGGAGGCCACGAGAGAAGCAGCAGCCACUGUUGCUGAUGUCCCGGUUCACCCUAUAGUGUCAUGCAGCAGCCGGGCCUACAGCUCCUCCACCUCCUCCUGGGGCUUCCUUCAGCUUCUCUGACUCCUGGGCCGGAUGCGUGUUGGGUCCACAAUGAAGGACAUCAACUUCUGCGGACACUCAGACCAUCAAGGUUGCUGCCACAGCAUGGUUGAUGAGAAGUGUAGUUUGGUGCUCAGGAUCCGGGCCUGCAAACCUAGGCUGCUGAAGCGGAGCAUGCCGAACUUAACCACUACGUCAUGGGGCUGGCCCCUUUCUCACCUUUUAAUUGAAGCUGCAAUAUCAACCCAAUCUCUUUACAAGGAGAUGCUGUGCCGUUCAUCUGUGCUCUUCCAGAACCUUCGCAGUUUAAGAUGUGAAAACAGACACUUCCUGAGCCUGAGCUCACCGCGGAGGCCUCUGGGCACUGGAAGAAGGUAGAGCACAAGCUGCUUUGGAUGAGUUCUACUGCGUGGCCCCGACUGGAAUGUUACAUCAAUAACAGUGUGAUAUGACGAUGAUAGCAGCCAACCUUGAUUUGGCCCGUCCCAUGUGCCAGUGCUCUGCAUGCAUCACGUUAUGGAGUUGUCACGAUAAGCCUAUGGGAUAGGGAUUAUUAGUACCCAUUUUACAAAUGCAAAACCUG
rnacentral:lncRNA from 1 species